UAAAUGACUCUUCGCAACGGAUAUCUCGGCACUCGUAUCUAUGAAGAACGUAGCAAAAUGCAAUACUUAUUGUGAAUUGCAUAAUCCCUUGAACCAUCGAGUAUUUGAAAGUAAGUUGCGCUCAAAGCCAUAAGGCCAAGGGCACGUCUGCCUGAGCAUCACAC
rnacentral:rRNA from 1 species